CGACGGCCUACCUUCAGAACCAAGGACGGACGGGGAUCAUCGUGAGAAACGAAAGUGAAUCUCAUAUGAAGGCAAGCCAAGGCCACGACAUGAGACGUGCAAAUUAAAAAAUAAAGUAAUAAGAAUCAUAAUAACAAUAAUAAAAAUUAUGAUAAUAAUAAUAAUUAUGAUAAUAAUAUAUUAAAAAAGCAAUUAAAAAUUCUCUCCCAAAACCGCUCCAACCACAACCAAGCACAACCACAGGCAAGGUACGGGCCUUUGUCAACGAGACAGUCAUCAACCAGUGAAUGUGGCGCAUUACCGUGAUUAUUUUAUAUAAUAUAAUAAAUAUAUGUGUAUAUAUGAUCUUCUCAAUAUACAUAUAAACACAUAUAUCAUGAAUAGAUAUGCAUAGAUAUUGAUAACGAAAAAUAAAUAUAAAUAAAAAUACUUAGUAAUAAUAACCAGUGUUCAAUCUCAAGUCAAUUCAAUAAAUAUGGCGUGAUUCAAUAUUAACAGUUGCAGUAAUAAAAAAAAUAAAGAAAAAGAAAUGGAACAGAGGAACGAAUACAUUGUUUGGUUUGUUUGGGCUGUUUGUUCCGAUAGUAAAUUAAUUAAUAAAAAUGCCACCAUUCGGAUGUAACAAUUAGUUAGGGACGUAAAGUUGAACGUUACUUUUGGAAAAACGAUUUUCCUCUUCGAGUGGAAUAUAUUUUCUUCUCUUUGGGCAUGAUUGAUUUGACGCAUUUCAUUCUGUCAAGGAAAACUCGUAAUCAUCGUUGAGUUUUGUGAAAAAAGGUGUUUACGACAUUCGGAGCACAAAUACUUGGUCGUUUUACAUUUUUUCGGUAAAGUGUCUCAACAAUAGGCGGGGUUCGGGGUAAGUUUGGUUGUUGGAUAGACAAAGUUGAGUUAUUAAUUCAUUAAUUUACGAUAAAUAAAUAAUAAAUAAAUACGAUUGGAAAAAAUAUUAUGUACGAAAAAUACCUCAUGCGUUUACCACUUUAUAGAGAGCCCUAGUCUAGC